UCAGGCCGGUACUCGCGAAUCAUCUAGUNUAAGAGUUUGAUCAUGGCUCACAGUGAACNGNNUGGCGGUAGGCCUAACACUUGCAAGUCGAACGGCAGCACAGGAGAGCUUGCUCUCUGGGUGGCGAGUGGCGGACGGGUGAGGAAUACAUCGGAAUCUACUCUGUCGUGGGGGAUAACGUAGGGAAACUUACGCUAAUACCGCAUACGACCUACGGGUGAAAGCAGGGGACCUUCGGGCCUUGCGCGAUUGAAUGAGCCGAUGUCGGAUUAGCUAGUUGGCGGGGUAAAGGCCCACCAAGGCGACGAUCCGUAGCUGGUCUGAGAGGAUGAUCAGCCACACUGGAACUGAGACACGGUCCAGACUCCUACGGGAGGCAGCAGUGGGGAAUAUCGGACAAUGGGCGCAAGCCUGAUCCAGCCAUACCGCGUGGGUGAAGAAGGCCUUCGGGUUGUAAAGCCCUUUUAGUUGGGAAAGAAAUCCA
rnacentral:rRNA from 1 species